GCGGAGAGCUCCUGUCGAGUCCGGAGGGAAAGGGAAAGAGGAUGAAAACUACUAGCGCUUGUACUCAGACGGAGAGCUACCGCCGUAUCCUCAGUUGAGUCAAGCCACAAGUGGUAAGAAGAAGAACAAGAGAAAGAACACAGCACUAAAUGUGUUGACUGAGCUUCAAAAUCAAGGAUCAUCUCAGUUGAAUGAAGCUGACGAAACAUGGAAUGAGUGCUACCAGAGGUUUUGGAGAGGAUGAAGGAAUUUCUCUGUGCACCAAGAUUAUCAACAGCAAGGCCACACCUAGGCCAACCAACAGCAACAACAUCAAGGCCCACGCCAGGGCAAGAUCCACCAACAGCAACAACAUCAAGGCCCGCGCCAGGGCAAGAUCCACCAACAGCAUCAUCAAGGCCCGCGCCAGGGCAAGAUCCACCUACUAACUGACAUGAACAUUGAAGCAUUCAUACGGCAGAAAUGUAAUAAUGCUGGCAAACGUCAAAAUCAAUAAAUAAUCUGUUCAAUGAA